AUGAGAUUCCUGAACCAGAAACUUGAGCGAGCCCACUUUUACAAAGAAAAGGCGUUUACGGAGGCAUUUGAAGCAGAGAAUGAGAGCGAGUUGGGGCCGAUUUUACAGAUUCGGGCUAGUUUCUGGCGCGAUGAAGGGACAGCUAACGGAAAGAGGAAUUUGGCGGCGGUGAUGGGACAACUGGACGGUGUUGGGGACGCCCUGCAGGUGAGUCGCAGCGCGGUCCCUACCCGAAGACGGGGGAGCUGUACGCCCCUGGAGAUGCUCUGGGACUUUCAGGAUGUCGUUCAAGGAAUUGGCCUUGAAGUAGGGGAGUAAGUAUUGAACAACUGAAAAGUAGGAAUAUUCAAAAACUCACAGCGCUGUAUUUUUAUGCGUUUAAAUUUAUAUUUAAUUAUAUCGUCUCAUUAAAUAUUUAAAAUUUUUUAUUUUUGAAAUAUUUUUUAAAAUAUUAAAUGUAUGAUAUUAAAAUAUGUGAGUAUUGAAAUAUUCAUUUUAUGAAAAUAUUUUAAAUGUUAGAUAAUAUAUUAAAAUAUGAGAGUUAAAAUGAUAUUAAUAUUUAUUAGUAUUUUAUUAAAUUCUUUUUAAGCUAUGGUUUAUUUAUACUGAAACAAAAAUUUAAUAUGAUUUUAGUUUCCUGGCUUUAAUGGAAGCCAACUCAUUAAUAUAUUCAAGCUCACUUCUAUAUUUGUUUGACAAUUUCUUGUGACUCUGUGACAGUCUUAAGUAAUUUUUAUUUAAGCUGAGUUUCUGAAACACCACUGCCAGCACCCCACCUUGAGUGCAGUGUAGAAAAAAGAAUUAGUGCAGAUGUACCUGGUCCAAUGAGUAAGACUGUGCUUUCAGUGCAGGAGGUGCGAAUUUGACGCCUGGUCUGGGAAUUAAGAUCCCACAAGCAGUGCUGUGCAGUCAAAAAGAAGGGAAGAAGAUGGAAGAGAGAGAGGGAGACAGGAACCAGAGGAAGAAGAGGCAGUGUCCUGUACAAAGCAUUGAGGGCAUUUACCACGUCUGAUCUUUUCAUUUUCUUUGGGAAGAAUUUUAUAGGUGAAAUGAAAAUUGCCCAGAUUUCAUUGGCAAUGUGAAGCCUUUCUUUGUAAGACACAUAUGGUCUUGCAAAUGAAAGGGCAUUUCCUGUCUUUCUUGAAAAUUUUGAUGUUUUGUUCAGUGUGUGUAUUUUGGUAUUUUCAUUUUUUAAUAUUGAGUUACAGUGUUAUUUAUCUUGAUGGCUUAGACUUGGUGCCUUUUAACAUUUCAUACUCAAGACAAGUCCUUUCUUACUUUGCCCAAAUACUAACCCAAGAAAUAGCUUUAGAAGUAC
rnacentral:lncRNA from 1 species